rnacentral:rRNA from 1 species
ACGCUCGACACCUACGGGGGCAGCAGUGGGGAAUAUUGCACAAUGGAGGAAACUCUGAUGCAGCGAUGCCGCGUGAGGGAAGAAGGUUUUCGGAUUGUAAACCUCUGUCUUUGGGGACGAUAAUGACGGUACCCAAGGAGGAAGCUCCGGCUAACUACGUACCAGCAGCCGCGGUAAUCUGAGCGGGCUGGCAAGGC